UUAUACCUUAGUUCUUAGAGAUGGGUCUUCUUUGCAUUUUAUCCUAUAGAGUGAUAAUAAACCGCAUGCUGGAGAGGUCAUUAUUACAAUCAAGGGAAGAAAGGAAGGCAUGAAGGGGAAAUGGGACUGUUUACCAAGUGUAUCUGCAGAGACGAAAGGAGACAAGAGGAAGUGCUGAGUACCUUAAUUCCUACAGAGAAUACAUCAUUUCAAAGGCAUAAGAAUUCUGCUCUGGCUUCUAAGAAGCUUACGUAUUCAAAGGACCAAAGGAAAGUGGAGGCAAAGGAAACACCUCGAAGUCCCCUGGGGCAUUGAGAACCCUGAAGGCUGUUGAGAGGAUUAGCUGGAAGAAAGAAUCUGAUGGACUGUUCCCAUUUCCUUUGCUUCUACAACGUCUCCCCUUUUUCUUCCUGAUCUCACCAUCAAGAACAGUGACAUUUGAAAAUUUUGAGCAGCAGAAGCUUUUUUAUCUAAAGCAAAUGUUGUACGCAUAAACACAUUAGGACAUGAUACAAAAA